CCCCACUGCUAUCGGGAUGGGACUAAGACAUGCUAGUCGUGCGUCUCCAAGCCAUAGCGGAGACGCGGCGCACAGCUCAGUAACACGUGGCUAACCUGCCCUUAGGACAGGGACAACCCCGGGAAACUGGGGCUAAUCCCUGAUAGGUGAGGGUUCCUGGAAUGGGCCCUCGCCGAAAGGGCGCCUAGACCAUGCUUCUAGGCGCUGCCCAAAGAUGGAGCCGCGGCCGAUCAGGUUGUUGGUGAGGCAACGGCUCACCAAGCCUUUAACCGGUACGGGCCGUGAGAGCGGGAGCCCGGAGAUGGGUACUGAGACAAGGACCCAGGCCCUACGGGGCGCAGCAGUCGCGAAAACUCCGCAAUACGCGAAAGCGUGACGGGGCUAUCCCGAGUGCCGUCCGCUGAGGAUGGCUUUUCCCUAGUGUAUAAAGCUGGGGGAAUAAGGAGAGGGCAAGCCUGGUGUCAGCCGCCGCGGUAAUACCAGCUCUCCGAGUGGUGGGGAUGCUUAUUGGGCCUAAAGCAUUCGUAGCCGGUUGGGCAAGUCCUCCGUUAAAUCCAGCGAUUCAAUCGUUGGACUGCGGGGGAUACUGCCCGGCUUGGGGGCGGAAGAGGCCGACGGUAUUCUCGGGGUAGGGGUGAAAUCCUAUAAUCCCGGGAGGACCACCAGUGGCGAAGGCUGUCGGCUAGAACGCGCCCGACGGUGAGGGAUGAAAGCUGGGGGAGCGAACCGGAUUAGAUACCCGGGUAGUCCCAGCUGUAAACGAUGCAGGCUAGGUGUUGGCGCGGCUACGUGCCGCUCCAGUGCCGCAAGGAAGCCGUUAAGCCUGCCGCCUGGGAAGUACGGCCGCAAGGCUGAAACUUAAAGGAAUUGGCGGGGGAGCACCACAAGGGNUGAAGCUUGCGGUUU
rnacentral:rRNA from 1 species